rnacentral:rRNA from 1 species
UACAGGGGGUGCAAACGUUGCUCGGAAUUAUUGGGCGUAAAGCGCGCGUAGGCGGCUACUUAAGUCGGAUGUGAAAGCCCUUGGCUCAACUGAGGAAGUGCACCCGAAACUGAGUGGCUAGAGUACGAAAGAGGGUCGCGGAAUUCCCGGUGUAGAGGUGAAAUUCGUAGAGAUGUGGAGGAACACCAGUGGCGAAGGCGACUCUUUGGCCUGUAACUGACACUGAGGCGCGAAAGCGUGGGGAGCAAACAGG